GCCCCGAUUGGCACCCGCGGCGUCCCGUCGCCGCGUCGCGUUGCGGGCCCGUCGGAGCGACGCCGCUCGGGUCAGUCGGCGGCCGGACUGGGAAGAUGGACGCAGCUACUCUGACCUACGACACUCUCCGGUUUGCCGAGUUUGAAGAUUUUCCUGAGACCUCAGAGCCCGUUUGGAUACUGGGUAGAAAAUACAGCAUUUUCACAGAAAAGGACGAGAUCUUGUCUGAUGUGGCAUCUAGACUUUGGUUUACAUACAGGAAAAACUUUCCAGCCAUUGCCAUUCAUCGUUGUAUACCCUGGAGCUGGAAGGAGAUGGGGACUGGUUCUCAGCCUUGCUUCUCACCGGCGGAGAACUGAGGCCGGAGGUGAGGGCCAGGCUGGCGCCACGCUUCCUCAGUGCCAGGAGGUGGUCGGGACAUUUCACCCUCCA
rnacentral:sRNA from 1 species